AGAAGUUGUGGCUAUCAAAAAGUU
rnacentral:miRNA from 1 species